rfam:Mycobacterium simiae strain MsiGto contig_25, whole genome shotgun sequence.
CUUGAUCGAGCCGAGCCACAACGGCUGACCGGCCGGCCGACCCUGUCCAUAGGUGGCCAGGAUCGCUUGCGCCUC